CGCUGCGGUGGCGUCGACGGCUGAAAGACCAAAGAACUCGGGAGAAAGAACCCCACCAAACCCGACCCUCCCGCCCGUGGCCGCGCUCACUCGGGCGGGUGAACAUCAGCGGCUCGGCUGGAUUUUCGGGCGCUGAAGGCCCGACGCUCAGGGCAACGCACCACCACGACAUCAGACAUGAGACGGCCCCCGCCGGGACGGCAAUCCCACUGCGAGGGCCUGACCACCGAGGAAGAGAAGAGCUUCCUG
rnacentral:ncRNA from 1 species